rnacentral:rRNA from 1 species
UACGGAGGGUGCAAGCGUUGCUCGGAAUUACUGGGCGUAAAGCGAACGCAGGCGGUUCAUUAAGUCGGGCGUGAAAGCCCCGGGCUCAACCUGGGAAUUGCACCCGAUACUGGUGAACUUGAGUCUGAGAGAGGGAAGCGGAAUUCCUGGUGUAGAGGUGAAAUUCGUUGAUAUCAGGAGGAACACCGGCGGCGAAGGCGGCUUCCUGGCUCAGUACUGACGCUCAUGUUCGAAAGCGUGGGGAGCGAACAGG